AGAUUCUGUAACAGAUCUUGAUUUCUCCCCCUUUGAUGAUUAUUUGCUUGCAACUGGAUCUCAAGAUUGUAAGGUCAACAUUUGGUUACUGCCAGAUGAGUCCAGCCCUGGUUCUUUAUCCCAGCCUGUUUUGUCACUUCCGCUGUUUGAUAGAAAAAUUGAGAAUGUUUUGUGGAACCCUCAGGCAGACGGCAUAUUAGCCGUAACAUCACACACUACUGUUAAACUGUAUGACAUUACUGGAGCCAGUGGACAAGAACUCUUCAAUAUUUCCAAAAGUUCUGACCAAAUU
rnacentral:sRNA from 1 species